CUUGGCUGAAGGUUCAGGAGACGCAGCAGGUGUGAAGAUGUGAACAGGAUCAACGCUCCUAAACCCAGGACAUCUUCAGCGGCGUCCCUGCUGGGCCCUUGCCUGCAUUUCUGAGCCGUCAGACCUAAAAGACACAGAAGAACCUCUUGCUGAGUCGUGGUAUUUAA